ensembl:lncRNA
CUCCACUGGGACUUAGGUCCCGGAGAAAGAGAGCGGGAAGGAGGCGGGGAAAGGAAGUGGGGGAUCUAGCUCCAAACACACAAAGCCUCUGGGGCCUCAGCGGCCCAGGGAAGGGCGCCCUCCCUCUGGUCCCCGGGAGGAGCUGCUGCAUUUCCAGCUCCUGCCCGAGGAGAACCCGGACCCACCCCUGACCCCGGCCUCCCACAGGGCUUGGAGACCUGCCGCUGAGCAGCAGGGAGCUCCCAAGUGGGCGCCUGUGCCCGGCGUCUGAACGUGUCCCCCCAGGAGGAGUCACUGCAGACUGGGUCCCCUCCUUGUCGCCGGCCUGCGCUGGCACCUGGAGCCCAGAUGAACGAACGCUUCACCUCUGGGGGAGAGCCUGGUAUUAAGAAGGUGUAUUGGCAGAAAUAUCAAAGCAAUGGGAAUAUAAGACAGAAAAAAAUUCUUAAAAUCUUGAGGCUGGCAGGUAGAAUGUGGCAUACAUGUGACACCUGUGUCUAGCUCAAACUAAAUGAAGUCCAAUAGACCAGUGCCACAGCUACACAUCUUCUCGGGCCAGUUUCUAUGGGCCAGUGACUAGUCCUCCUUCACACUGAAAUGUAAGAUAGAUUCACAAAGAUGCCUUGAAAUGCAGCCAUCUUACCAGGACACAAAAGAUGUUUGUUGGACAGGACAUGCCACAUGUCAAGAGAGAGUGUCAACAGGAUGCUCUUGAAGUUGCCUUGCUGUGAGCUGAGUUGGGAUGGCUCCCAAGAGAAGCUGGAGAACCCUCUUCCAAGUGCUGCUCUUGAUGAUGCUGUGAGACAGUGGCUUGGCAGUGAAAACAACAGACCUUGGUGGCCAGCAGCAAGGACAAGCCCUUCCAACCCCAGGAUUUCAACUUCCCAGCACCACAGAAAGGCCCAUCUGGAGAGAGCAACCCACCCUGUGAACAGGACUGGAACUGUAAGUCACAGGUCCAGUCUUGUUUGGGAAACUCCACAGAAACAACUGCCAUUGGCUGGAGAUGGCUCAGUCAGUGAAGUGCCUUCCUAGAAAACAUGAAGACCCGAGCCCAACCCACUGGAACCCAUGUUAAAAAUAAGUACAAGUGUGGGGGUAUGCACUUGUACUCUCAAUGCUAGGGAGGCUGGUACAAGUACAUUCCAUGACUCUUUGACCAGCCAGCUUGACCUUCUUGGUGAAUUCCAGGUCAGUGAGAGACUCUGCCUCAAAAACAAACAGACAGAAAAGAAGUGGAUGACAACUGAGGUGAUAGCCUGGCCUGGCCUUUUAGUAAGCACUUACACAAAUACGUGUGUGUGUGUGUGUGUGUGUGUGUGUGUGUG